GAUGAACGCUGGCGGCGUGCUUAACACGUGCAAGUCGAACGAAGCACCUUAUUUGAUUUUCUUCGGAACUGAAGAUUUGGUGACUGAGUGGCGGACGGGUGAGUAACGCGUGGGUAACCUGCCCUGUACAGGGGGAUAACAGUUAGAAAUGACUGCUAAUACCGCAUAAGACCACAGCACCGCAUGGUGCAGGGGUAAAAACUCCGGUGGUACAGGAUGGACCCGCGUCUGAUUAGCUGGUUGGUGAGGUAACGGCUCACCAAGGCGACGAUCAGUAGCCGGCUUGAGAGAGUGAACGGCCACAUUGGGACUGAGACACGGCCCAAACUCCUACGGGAGGCAGCAGUGGGGAAUAUUGCACAAUGGGGGGAACCCUGAUGCAGCGACGCCGCGUGAGUGAAGAAGUAUUUCGGUAUGUAAAGCUCUAUCAGCAGGGAAGAAAAUGACGGUACCUGACUAAGAAGCCC
rnacentral:rRNA from 1 species